rnacentral:misc_RNA from 1 species
GAUGAAGAACGUAGCGAAAUGCGAUAAGUAGUGUGAAUUGCAGAAUUCAGUGAAUCAGCGAAUCUUUGAACGCACAUUGCGCCCCUUGGUAUUCCAUGGGGCAUGCCUGUUCGAGCGUCAUUUGUACCUUCAAGCUUUGCUUGGUGUUGGGUGUUUGUCUCGCCUUUGCGUGUAGACUCGCCUUAAAAUAAUUGGCAGCCGGCGUAUUGAUUUCGGAGCGCAGUACAUCUCGCGCUUUGCACUCAUAACGACAGCGUCCAAAAGUACAUUUUACACUCUUGACCUCGGAUCAGGUAGGGAUUCCCGCUGAACUUAAGCAUAUCAAUAAGCGGAGGA